rnacentral:lncRNA from 1 species
GUCCUUCUCAGUGCGUUCAGACAGAAAAAUAUUGGCAAAGUGGAUGAAAAGGGCACCAAUUGCUUGCUUGGAGGUAUCGUAAAACCAUAUCCUCCAGGGACGCCUCUCUUCUUUUGGUUCCUUAAAUCGUUUUAACAUCAGCGUGCAGAAGACGCACAGCGCCAGCAAUGCCUGCAGCAGCACUCCGAAGCAGCCCAGUAGCGCUCCGCUGCCGCAGCCGUGAGUCG